ACUAGUGCAAGUCAUUGUUCAAGAUAAAGAACAAUGGAGAGCUGGGACUUCAAAAAGUAGUCAUGAAGUCUCUUUUUAUACAUACAAGGCAAGUAUUAUUCUGCUUACACUACAAGCUCAAUGGGCUGAAAUAUGUACAAAUCCAAACAGAAACAGAGGAUUGUUUACUGUCAUUUAUUUUUUACCUUCAUUAUUUGGUGUACUGCUUUGAGCCAAAUAUUCUAUUAAUCAGGGCUUAGAAAGUAUUUUAUGUUUAUGAAGAAAAAAGAAGGAACAAAAUGGAUUAACUGAUUGAUGCUAACUUAGCUUUAGAAAGAUCUUGUUUUUUUUAGAAAAAAAUCUGAAUAUGUUCACUUGAUUAAUUUUUUGUUGGUAACAUCAUUUUUGAGUUGUACUGCGGGUAUUCAGCACACAAGUAAGAACUGAGUUUCUUCUUUUUAAUUGACUUACAAAAUAGGCAGAGGGAAAUCAUGUUUCAGAAUAUCAAAGGAUCACAGUAAAAAGUUUUGUUACAGAAAGCAAUUUCUACCACCACUAUGCCUUUUACCUAAAAACUUUGUUUUCAUUUGUCUGUGUUAUUCUUUCUUUCAUGUGCAAAACACCAAAGAGCUUCUGAGUCCCAAGAAUAUCCAAAGGUUUAGUGUCCCCCUAAGAAAAGUUGGGCCACCUGACAAAAGCUAACCAGCACUGAUUUAUAGCAGUGUGGAAGUGCAUAGGUUGCUGUGGUUACAGAAAUACCAAAACCUAGCUUGGGUCUUUGACUACGGUUGGAGGGAAGCACUGUUGCAGGUUUCUGUUUAGAACUAACCGUGUUACCAACAGCAGUUUUUGUAGGAUGUAUUUCCUGAACUCUUAAAAAUAAUGUUCUUAAGAUAAGUGCUAACACAUUAGCAGCCAGAUGCUGCUCGUUAGGAAAGAAGAGUGACUAAGCUCAAAUCACCAGCAGUAUCAGAGUGAAAAAAAAAAAAAAAAAACAAAAAACAAAAAACAAAAAAAACUUUCUGGAUUUAUUUUCUUUUGGGGCAACACAAUUAUUUGCAAAGUUCUGUCACGCAUCAGCUGGCAAUAUAUUUGUGCUCAGUUUUAAAAUGUGCCUGUAUUCUGAAAUGACCUAUUUUUUUUUUAUUAUAAUCAAAUAAAAUCAAUUAAUGUAUUUUUCAUCCUUUAACCAAAACUAAGCACUUUUUGAAACCCCUAGUGACUGUGCAUUCAGCACUGCAUUCCCUCUGGGAAAAGCUGCUACUCUAAACUCGUGACACAAUUACAUUGAUUCACUUUUCCUCAGCGCUAAAAAUGGGCAAAUCCAGGUUAACUGUGAGCAUAAACUCUACAACAAAAGAACUCCUUCAAUGAGCAGCCUAAACUUUCCUUACAGGGGCUUAUUUGAAUAUUCCUAUCCCUGUUGUAAAGAACAGACAAUUGAUGCAGUCUGCUUCACUGUGGCAGAACUAUAGAUAAAGCUUUUGCCUUGUCCUUAAGGUAGCAUUCUCUUUGUACGCAGGUGUCCUAUCAAGUUACUUAUUUACAGCUGAGUUACAACAUUCCUUUCCGUCUUCCACUGCAUACGUGUGUGUGCGUGUGUGUCUACAGAAACACACACUGGAACGAAGAGGGGUAAAUAUGCACUGAUAUCCUGUCUACGAAUGGCACCCAAAAUUGGUAACACUUGAGUCUCAAAAGUCUAACCCGUUUGAUCUUGUCUAGGAAGCAGAAGUUCCAGUAUAGUCAUGUAAUGCAUAAGCAGAGUUUUUCCCUGCUUACUGCAUGAAAUGUGGAUUUAAAACUUAAGCAAUCUUUACUGUAUGUUCCAUUACACUUAACUAUAGCUGAGGUCUUUUAAACAGCACGAUAAUUGCUAAUGAAAUGAUCAGGUUUUCAGUUCAUUUAACAUGUAAUAUUUGUAUGAUUAGGCAUUAUGCAUUUCCUUAACAUUCUUAUACUUAGCCAGUGAAUAUACUAUGCAGAAUUAAUGAAAGAAAUUAUAUGAUUUUCUCUGUAAUGUUUAUUCACAGUAUUAUCACCAUGUGAUUUAAUUAUUCUGAUCAGUAUAGGUCUGACUAUCAUAACACUCAUGCAAAGGAAGGGCAAGUGUUCAGAGCUAUAACAGUAAUAUUUUAUCUGCUCUGUACAAAAUUAUAGAAACACUUAAAUGUCCAUGUGAACUUAGAAUACUUUCAGCCUGAGAAUACUUUUGUUUUCUCAGGUUUUCAGGACUUGGGGUUUGCUUGUUGCCCUGGUAAACAGCAUUAUUUUUAAGUUAAAUGAGUUCCUUUAAAAAUAAGACUUUUGCACAUGUAUGGAUUUGUAUUUGAAUGUCUAAUAAACAGCUUUUGUUUGGGAACUAAAACUGUCAAUUGAUUGGACUGUUCUAGAGAGUGACACAGCUCCCUGAACUAAUCAGAGCUAUUAUUGCUUGUCCUGAAAUAAGGAAGUGCAAAACUGCAGUUCAUAUACAAGCACCUUUCUUAGAGAGCUAAAUGACAGUUGCCCUUUCAUGAACUUGAACUUAUCUGCAGUUGAGAACAAAAAAAGUGAUAAAAAUCUGGGUAAUGAAAGUGCAUUGGUUUCGAUUUUCAGUGGUUUGUUUGAGAGCUAAUCUUGAUCUUUCUGAAGUUGCUGGUAAAAAUAUUGUAAAUGAGUUGUGUGGGUACAGCCUAUGGUGGAUUAAAAAGUUCUUGCUAGUACCUGGAGAUGUCAGCUAUUGGCCCACCUGAAAUAAAAUCCUGUGUAAGAAAACAUUAACAACCUGAGCCUGAGUGAGAAGUCUCAUUCAGUGUUCAUGCUUGUGGCCUGGGGAGCAUGAGGCGAUCUGACAUAAGAUACACAAGCCAAUUACUACUUAAUGCUUACUGAAUAAUUCACUGAAAAAUGGAUCGUAGAAGUGUGCUUAAUGCUUUACUCAAUUCUGAAAUUGUGAUUAAAAUGUGUGACUGAACCAAGCAGAAGCUUGGCACUAAAUCUGUUUGUUAGUAUUGGCAAUAGAUUAUUAUUGUUGUUUUUUGUUGUUGUUGUUGUUUGUUUGUUUGUUUGUUUGUUUUUGGUUUUUUAAGAGGAAGAAGCUCAAAAGAGCUGGAGUAUUUUGAUUUGAAAAUUGGCAAAUGUGAUUGCCUGAGGGGUAGACAGGGGUAGAAACUGUUUUAUUGAGUAGAUAAGAAUUCUGAACACAGCAGGAAACAUAAUCUACAAAGCUUUCCAAAAAUGCCAGCACUGAUAUUAAAUAUGUAUGCCUCACCCCAUUUGAGUAAUAAGAGUACUGUGAGUUAAAUUUAUUUCUCACAGUGGUGAAAAACACAUCCCACACAGAUAUGAUAAAGCACCAGAAGAACAAUGAGACAACCUGGGGGAUGAGCACUGCUGUGCUACCAACCAGCAGGCCUACGGCCCCUCCAACCUCUUCCCGCACCCCCAGGCGAAGAGAAUCCCAAGGAUAAGGCUGUGGGCAAGGUCCCUGUGCUACACGGCUCCCAUGCACUUCCUAGAGCCUGCCUGGCCCAGCUCCCCGGACACGGGAACCUCCACUACUUCCCUUGGAUCAAAAGAAAAAAUAUGCUGUCCAAAGUACUCCGCUACAUGCCACAGGCAAGCAGACCAUCCUGCACAUAGCUUGACUUGCCUAAGAAAUUUGCUUUGCUCCGUAGUGUUUGAAGAAUCUUUGUGGGAUUUUUUGUGGGAAAGCCAUAACAUGCAUUAACUCUCGGACUUCACAAUUCUUCACCUUAUCUGCAAGCAAAUAAAAAGUCUGUGGAAAUCUAAAUGGUAGAUUUGAAAAUGAAGGAUCUGAGAAUGAUGGCAAGGAAUAAGAACCACAAGAGAACUGUUCUCAGAAGAUUUACUACAAUGCUGUCAAAGCUUCUUGCAUGUACUUCAUUUAAUAUAAGUAAUCACCAUACAGUAGCGAGCAUAUAUGUAACCAGUAUAUAUAUAUGUGUACUGUGUAUAUAUAUAUACAUAUAGUGUGUGUAUAUAUAUAUAUAUGGUUAUGGCCAGCAUAAGAGAUAGUAAUAGUCUGAUAGUUUGGGGUAAUCCCAAAGCAAAUGUCAGCUCUCACAAAUCCUGAAAGCCAUUGAUUAUGACUCUAUUACUAAUGGAAGAUAAAAUAAAAAUCAACAGCAUUGACAUUAUAGGAAGAAGGAAAAAGAGUUGUGGAAUGAUUAAAGGACAAAGGAAAAAAAAUCUGAUUUAGCUGAAUCUGAGUGAAUCCAGCUGAAACGUCCAAAGGUUUAGUAGUGGGGAGAAGAUGUUCCUUUUACAUUCACCAGCUCUUGAAGUUGUUUGUAACAGAGUCAGAUCGCUUCAGGGCUCCCUUAACGUAAAUCUAAAUCACAAGAUCAAGAGAGUACUUUGUUAGCAAACUAUUGCAAAAGUAUAAAUUCCCAGUAACAGUGUCUUUCCUACUAAAUCACAAGAUCAAGAGAGUAUUUUGUUGGCCAAUUAUUGCAAAAAUAUAAAUUCCCAGUAACAAUGUCUUUCCUGUGAUAAUGUCUCACGCACUGUUGGGCUGGGCUGAAAAAGAUAUUAAAAAGAUAUGUUCUUUAAUUUAGAAGAAUAUGUUCUCUUUACGUUUCAUAUACAUGUGUGGCUGCCAUAACCUAAUGCUUCGACAGUAAUACAACAUCGCAUCUUCAUACAAGCCAAAAUUUGAUGCCAAUUCUUUUGUAAGCUAUACAAAACAGAAUAAAAUUUCUAAAAGGAAAACUGAAAAUUUACAAAUAAACAUAACCAUAUUUGGCAGUACGAAUGUUUGUACUAUUUUUUAGAAAAAUUAGAUACAGUGGAGGAUAGAAAUUUCCUGCCAAUAGGAUUCAUAGCAACUGAAAAGCCAAUAUAGCAAUAAAACCUUACACAAUUAUUGUCUGAAAGUCCAAGUUAGCUGUUAUAGUCAAUGUUAACUACAUAAAUGUUAAACUAAUAAACCCUGGAAAAUAUACUGCUAGGCAUUGCAUCCACUGCAAAAUGCAGCAGCUAACCUUCGAAAACUUGUAAGUAAUAAGAGCUUUAGCACCAGACCAAAGAAAAUGCCCUUACUGAUUCAUUCCACUAUGUCUUUGUCCCAGUUUUUCUAUUCCUGGACUUUAAAACACUUUUUAACAGAUAUAAUUUAUCCUCUGAGACCACUAACACUGUGAAACAUACCACAGCAGUAUCUUCCUGAUAGUUUCAGAUCAAGGAACAUAAAACAGAUGAAUGUGCUAAAUGACUGUUUUGGUUGACUCCUCCUCAUUCCUGAAGAUAAAUGUACUUUCUUCUGCUGUUUUGAAACCUGAACUAUACUUACAGGAGUGCUGCUGAGAUGGUAAUCACAAUUUGAAUAAAGGUAAUUGCUAAGUUUAUUCAGGAGGACAUAUCAGCAAACAAGACCUCAAGACUUCAUUGACAGGAAUCUAAAAAGACAAGAGUUUGAAAGACAGCAUCAAAAGCUCUUUUCCAUUGGAUGACCUUCUGCAGCUGUCCAUGUAGUGUCUGUGCUGUAAACAGCAAGUUUCUUUCUAGACAGGUAGCUGAAAAAACAAAGGUUAUUUUCUCUUACAUUAAAAAUGACUCUUGCACACUGGAUUGAUUGGAGUCUUCUAUAAAAUUUAUGCCAAUCAGCUGCUGUUUCCAUUGACUUCCAAGAAAAUCUUGCUGUUUGAUUCUCUCUUAGGGCUUUUAAAAUUUCUUAAUUUCCCCAAAUGCUUUACCAAUCCAUUUUCAGUAUUCCUACUCUUAUUGUUCUAAAUUGAUUCAUAGCCAGUCAAGACAAAUAACAGUUCCCAGCAAUUUCAGAUAUAUGGCAUCUUCAGGUAUGCAUUUUCUAGUAACAGCAGGAGAAUAAUGUGUGG